rnacentral:rRNA from 1 species
UUCCGGUUGAUCCUGCCGGACCUGACUGCUAUCGGAUUGAUACUAAGCCAUGCGAGUCAUUGUAGUAAUACAAGGCAGACGGCUCAGUAACGCGUAGUCAACCUACCCUAUGGACGGGGAUAACCUCGGGAAACUGAGAAUAAUACCCGAUAGAACAUUAUACCUGGAAUGGUUUAUGUUUCAAAUAAUUUAUUGCCGUAGGAUGGGACUGCGGCCUAUCAGUUUGUUGGUGAGGUAAUGGCCCACCAAGACUAUUACAGGUACGGGCUCUGAGAGGAGUAGCCCGGAGAUGGGUACUGAGACACGGACCCAGGCCCUAUGGGGCGCAGCAGGCGAGAAAACUUUGCAAUGUGCGAAAGCACGACAAGGUUAAUCCGAGUGGUUUCUGCUAAAGGAACCUUUUGUCAGUCCUAGAAACACUGGUGAAUAAGGGGUGGGCAAGUUCUGGUGUCAGCCGCCGCGGUAAAACCAGCACCUCAAGUGGUCAGGAUGAUUAUUGGGCCUAAAGCAUCCGUAGCCUGCUUUGUUAGUUUUCGGUUAAAUCCAUGCGCUCAACGUAUGGGCUGCCGGGAAUACUGCAAAGCUAGGGAGUGGGAGAGGUAGACGGUACUCGGUAGGAAGGGGUAAAAUCCUUUGAUCUAUUGAUGACCACCUGUGGCGAAGGCGGUCUACCAGAACACGUCCGACGGUGAGGGAUGAAAGCUGGGGGAGCAAACCGGAUUAGAUACACGGGUAGUCCCAGCUGUAAACUAUGCAAACUCGGUGAUGCAUUGGCUUGAUGCCAAUGCAGUGCCGCAGGAAGCCGUUAAGUUUGCCGCCUGGGAAGUACGUACGCAAGUAUGAAACUUAAAGGAAUUGGCGGGGGAGCACCACAAGGGUGAAGCCUGUGGUUCAAUUGGAGUCAACGCCGAGA